rnacentral:rRNA from 1 species
CAGCAAUGCGCUAAUAGAUGAGCCCGCGUAAGAUUAGCUAGUUGGUAAGGUAAAGGCUUACCAAGGCGACGAUCUUUAGCUGGUCUGAGAGGAUGACCAGCCACAUCGGGACUGAGACACGGCCCCGGACUCCUACGGGGAGGCAGCAGUCGGGAAUAUUGGACAAUGGGCGCAAGCCUGAUCCAGCAAUACCGCGUGUGUGAAGAAGGCCUGCGGGUUGUAAAGCACUUUCAGUUGGGAAGAUAAUGACGUUACCAACAGAAGAAGCACCGGCUAACUCCGUGCCAGCAGCCGCGGUAAUACGGAGGGUGCAAGCGUUAAUCGGAAUUACUGGGCGUAAAGCGCACGUAGGCGGUUUUCUAAGUCAGAUGUGAAAUCCCCGGGCUUAACCUGGGAACUGCACCUGAUACUGGAAGACUAGAAUGUGGGAGAGGAGAGUGGAAUUUCCGGUGUAGCGGUGAAAUGCAUAGAGAUCGGAA